rnacentral:rRNA from 1 species
GAAAGGCGAAAAGAACCCCGGGAGGGGAGUGAAAUAGAACCUGAAACCGUGUGCCUACAAUCGGUCAAAGCCCCAUAUGAGGGUGAUGACGUGCUUUUUGUAGAACGAGCCAACGAGUUACGGUAUGUAGCAAGGUUAAGUACUUAAGGUACGGAGCCGAAGGGAAACCGAGUCUUAAUAGGGCGACUAGUUGCAUGCUGUAGACCCGAAACCGG